GAUGAACGCUGGCGGCGUGCCUAAUACAUGCAAGUCGAGCGAACAGACGAGGAGCUUGCUCCUCUGACGUUAGCGGCGGACGGGUGAGUAACACGUGGAUAACCUACCUAUAAGACUGGGAGAACUUCGGGAAACCGGAGAUAAUACCGGAUAAUAUAUUGAACCGCAUGGUUCAAUAGUGAAAGGCGGUUUUGCUGUCUCUUAUAGAUGAUUCCGCGCCGCAUUAGCUAGUUGGUAAGGUAACGGCUUACCAAGGCAACGAUGCGUAGCCGACCUGAGAGGGUGAUCGGCCACACUGGAACUGAGACACGGUCCAGACUCCUACGGGAGGCAGCAGUAGGGAAUCUUCCGCAAUGGGCGAAAGCCUGACGGAGCAACGCCGCGUGAGUGAUGAAGGUCUUCGGAUCGUAAAACUCUGUUAUUAGGGAAGAACAAAUGUGUAAGUAACUAUGCACGUCUUGACGGUACCUAAUCAGAAAGCCACGGCUAACUACGUG
rnacentral:rRNA from 1 species